rnacentral:rRNA from 1 species
UGGGGAAUAUUGGACAAUGGGCGAAAGCCUGAUCCAGCGACGCCGCGUGUGUGAAGAAGGCCUGCGGGUUGUAAAGCACUUUCGAUGGGAACGAAAUGUGCCGGGUUAAUACCCCGGUAAGCUGACGUUACUCAAUGAAGAAGCACCGGCUAACUCUGUGCCAGCAGCCGCGGUAAUACAGAGGGUGCAAGCGUUAAUCGGAAUUACUGGGCGUAAAGCGCACGUAGGCGGUUUUUAAGUCAGAUGUGAAAGCCCCGGGCUCAACCUGGGAAUUGCAUUUGAAACUGGAAAACUAGAGUGUGUGAGAGGGGGGUAGAAUUCCAAGUGUAGCGGUGAAAUGCGUAGAGAUUUGGAGGAAUACCAGUGGCGAAGGCGGCCCCCUGGCACAACACUGACGCUCAGGUGCGAAAGCGUGGGGAGCAAACAGGAUUAGAUACCCUGUAGUCCCUGAGCGGGCUGGCAAGGCGCAU